rnacentral:rRNA from 1 species
UGGGGAAUAUUGCACAAUGGGCGAAAGCCUGAUGCAGCCAUGCCGCGUGUGUGAAGAAGGCCUUAGGGCUGUAAAGCACUUUCAGCGAGGAGGAAAGGGGGUAAGUUAAUACCUUAUCUCUGUGACGUUACUCGUAGAAGAAGCACCGGCUAACUCCGUGCCAGCAGCCGCGGUAAUACGGAGGGUGCGAGCGUUAAUCGGAAUUACUGGGCGUAAAGCGUGCGUAGGCGGCUACUUAAGUUGGAUGUGAAAGCCCUGGGCUCAACCUGGGAACUGCAUCCAAAACUGGGUGGCUAGAGUGCGAGAGAGGAGUGUGGAAUUUCCUGUGUAGCGGUGAAAUGCGUAGAUAUAGGAAGGAACACCAGUGGCGAAGGCGACACUCUGGCUUGACACUGACGCUGAGGUACGAAAGCGUGGGGAGCAAACAGGAUUAGAUACCCUGGUAGUCCACGCCGUAAACGAUGUCUACCAGUUGUCGGUUGUCUUGUACGACUGGUAACGCAGCUAACGCGAUAAGUAGACCGCCUGGGGAGUACGGCCGCAAGGUUA